rnacentral:lncRNA from 10 species
UGCAGUAAGCUAUGAUUGGGCCACUGCACUCCAUCCUGGGUGAUAGAGCAAGAUCGUGUCUCAAAAAAAAUUUUUUUUCUUUUUGCAUGGUUUUUUUUUUUUCCGGAUUGAGGAACUCUCUGGAACUGUCUUUCUUCAAGAGAGCAUUUCUUAUAAUACAGAUCUGGUAGUGGUGAAUUCUCUCUGCUUUUAUUUGGGAAAAACUUUAUCUCUUCUUCAUAUUUGAAUAAUAGCUUUGCUUGAUACAGUAUUCUUGUAUGGCCUUCAUGGUUUUGAUUGAGAAGUCUGUGGCCAGGUAAAUUAGAGCUCUUUUAAGUGUUAUUUCCUUCUUUUCUCUUACUGUUUCUAGGAUCCUCUCUUUGUUCUUGACCUUUGAGAGUUUGAUUAUUAUAUGCCUUGGGGUAA